rnacentral:rRNA from 1 species
AGAGUUUGAUCAUGGCUCAGAAUCAACGCUGGCGGCGUGCCUAACACAUGCAAGUCGAACGAGAAAGAUCCCCGCAAGGGGAUUGAGUACAGUGGCGAACGGGUGAGUAACACGUGACUAACCUACCUUCCAGUGGGGGAUAACCUCGGGAAACCGGGGCUAAGACCGCAUAAUCUCGCGAGGUGAAAUUCCUUGUGAGCAAAGGGGAAAGACGCUGGUAGAGGGGGUCGCGUCCGAUUAGCUAGUUGGCGGGGUAACGGCCCACCAAGGCGAUGAUCGGUAGCCGGCCUGAGAGGGCGCACGGCCACACUGGAACUGAAACACGGUCCAGACUCCUACGGGAGGCAGCAGUGGGGAAUUUUGCACAAUGGGGGAAACCCUGAUGCAGCAACGCCGCGUGGAGGAUGAAGUCCCUUGGGACGUAAACUCCUUUCGACCGGGACGAUAAUGACGGUACCGGUGGAAGAAGCCCCGGCUAACUCCGUGCCAGCCGCCGCGGUAAUUCA